rnacentral:rRNA from 1 species
AGUGAACGCUGGCGGUAGGCCUAACACAUGCAAGUCGAACGGCAGCACAGUAAGAGCUUGCUCUUACGGGUGGCGAGUGGCGGACGGGUGAGGAAUACAUCGGAAUCUACUUUUUCGUGGGGGAUAACGUAGGGAAACUUACGCUAAUACCGCAUACGACCUACGGGUGAAAGCAGGGGAUCUUCGGACCUUGCGCGAUUGAAUGAGCCGAUGUCGGAUUAGCUAGUUGGCGGGGUAAAGGCCCACCAAGGCGACGAUCCGUAGCUGGUCUGAGAGGAUGAUCAGCCACACUGGAACUGAGACACGGUCCAGACUCCUACGGGAGGCAGCAGUGGGGAAUAUUGGACAAUGGUCGCAAGCCUGAUCCAGCCAUACCGCGUGGGUGAAGAAGGCCUUCGGGUUGUAAAGCCCUCUUUUUGGGAAAGAAAAGCAGCAGGUUAAGACCCCGCUGUUCUGACGGUACCCAAAGAAUAAGCACCGGCUAACUUCGUG